rnacentral:lncRNA from 1 species
UUUAAGUACCAAUGCGCACUUAUCUGUUUUUCUUUCUUUAGGUUAACAUGCCAGCAGUGAUUCUUUUUGAGUUUAUGACACAAAAUAGUGGUUUUUAUCCAAAUAAGUCAGCUGCUCUACCCCAUCCCUAAGCCACUUCCAUGGAAGGAAAAAGGAGGAAAAAGCCAGUAUUGUGACUGCCUGUGCUUCCCCUAGCAUGGCCCCCUGUGAGACCUGUGGCAGCCGAGACCCAGGAACUGUUCAAGAGUGCCAGGCUCCAUCUGUCUGCAUUCACUCACCUUCCUCAGAGCCACGGAUGAGGCCAUAGCGCCACCUGGUGACCCUAGAGUCCCGGGCUUUCUGAGUUUGCAUGGGAACCACUGCAAAGGUCUAAGCAAGUUCAAGGAGACGUGGGUAUCUCCUGGCAUAACACCCCAGGCACGG